rnacentral:rRNA from 1 species
CAGUCGCCACGGUAAUACGAAGGGGGCUAGCGUUGCUCGGAAUGACUGGGCGUAAAGGGCGCGUAGGCGGUUUGUACAGUUGGAUGUGAAAUUCCUGGGCUUAACCUGGGGGCUGCAUUCAAGACGUGCGGGCUUGAGUGUGGAAGAGGGUUGUGGAAUUCCCAGUGUAGAGGUGAAAUUCGUAGAUAUUGGGAAGAACACCGGUGGCGAAGGCGGCAACCUGGUCCAUAACUGACGCUGAGGCGCGAAAGCGUGGGGAGCAAACAGGAUUAGAUACCCGAGUAGUCCCUGUCUCUUAUAC